CUUGUUCUCCUCCUCCUCCUACUUCACUAUCAUCAUUAUUGAUUAAACUUGCAUGGUUGUUGAGGUGGUACAAGAAGCUUAAAACGGUGGAUCGAAUGCGUGGGAAGAGAUCUCUUCCUCCCAAUGAUCCAGAAAAGAAAGAAGUCGUCCAAAGUUUUUCAUCGUACACCUCAGCUCGUGCUGAUGAUGAACUUUCUACAAUGGUAUCAGCCCUUACGUAUGUGAUCAGCUCAAGCUACCAAGCAAGAAAAGAAGAGGGGGAGGAGAAGAAAAAACUACCAUGAUUGAGGCACAAAAUCCGAUGGUGUUGGUGUCUGGUGCAAGGGAACUUAGUCAACCUUCUGAAGAGAAUGGUAUCAUAGCCUCUCAUUGCACCACUUACUUCUACUUGCCAUUUAGUAUAAAUGGCCCCUAAUGGUUUUUCGUUUUUCUUUUGCCUUUUGUUGCCUUUUGAUGAGGAAAUACAAGUGAUCUUAUUAACAAAUUGUUUUUUCUCUUUCUUCCUUUCUUUUGUAUAUGUGUGUUUUCUUAUUUUGC
rnacentral:lncRNA from 1 species